UGGAGACACUCUGUAAAACUGCCAUGAAGAUUUCAUCAUAUUCUUCAUUUGUCAAUGACUUGCCAACCACCCUCCUUGGCUUACGCACAUCCCCAUCUGCUGCAGGCUACAACAGAAAAAUAAUUUGAACCAUUAGAUAUUAUAGGAAACAGAAGACAUGGUAUAUUUGGGAUUACACUUUCUCGAUCGAUGCAGCCUUCCUUUCUGGAUUUUUCAUCUUCUCUCUGCAAUCAGAAAUAUGUUGUUCAGGAGAAAACGAUGCAUUGCUGUAUUUUUAAAUAAACAAUACUAUCACA